rnacentral:rRNA from 1 species
UGGGGGAUAUUGCACAAUGGGCGAAAGCCUGAUGCAGCGACGCCGCGUGGGGGAUGAAGGCCUUCGGGUUGUAAACUUCUUUUGCUCUGAACAAGGCAUGCUAAUGGGUGUGUUGAGUGUAGGGGUUGAUUAGCGCCGGCUAACUACGUGCCAGCAGCCGCGGUAAUACGUAGGGCGCGAGCGUUGUCCGGAAUUAUUGGGCGUAAAGGGCUUGUAGGUGGCUGGUUGCGUCUGUCGUGAAAGCUCAUGGCUUAACUGUGGGUUUGCGGUGGGUACGGGCGGGCUUGAGGGCAGUAGGGGAGGUAGGAAUUACUGGUGUAGCGGUGGAAUGCGCAGAUAUCAGAAGAAUACCGGUGGCGAAGGAGGGUCUCUGGGCUGUUACUGACACUGAGGAGCGAAAGCAUGGGGAGCGAACAGG